UACGUAGGGGGCGAGCGUUGUCCGGAGUUACUGGGCGUAAAGCGCACGUAGGCGGCUGUUCAAGUCAGAGGUGAAAGCCUGGAGCUCAACUCCAGAACUGCCUUUGAAACUAGACAGCUAGAAUCAUGGAGAGGUGAGUGGAAUUCCGAGUGUAGAGGUGAAAUUCGUAGAUAUUCGGAAGAACACCAGUGGCGAAGGCGGCUCACUGGACAUGUAUUGACGCUGAGGUGCGAAAGCGUGGGGAGCAAACAGG
rnacentral:rRNA from 1 species